rnacentral:rRNA from 1 species
GACGAACGCUGGCGGCGUGCUUAACACAUGCAAGUCGAACGGACAGGCCCUGCUUUUGUGGGGUGCUCGAGUGGCGAACGGGUGAGUAACACGUGAGUAACCUGCCCUUGACUUUGGGAUAACUUCAGGAAACUGGGGCUAAUACCGGAUAGGAGCUCCUGCUGCAUGGUGGGGGUUGGAAAGUUUCGGCGGUUGGGGAUGGACUCGCGGCUUAUCAGCUUGUUGGUGGGGUAGUGGCUUACCAAGGCUUUGACGGGUAGCCGGCCUGAGAGGGUGACCGGCGACAUUGGGACUGAGAGACGGCCCAGAAGCCUACGGGAGGCAGCAGUGGGGAAUAUGGCACAAUGGGCGGAAGCCUGAUGCAGCAACGCCGCGUGCGGGAUGACGGCCUUCGGGUUGUAAACCGCUUUCGCCUGUGACGAAGCGUGAGUGACGGUAAUGGGUAAAGAAGCACCGGCUAACUACGUG